rnacentral:rRNA from 1 species
CCAGCAGCUGCGGUAAUUCCAGCUCCACUAGCGUAUAUUAAAGUUGUUGCAGUUAAAAAGCUCGUAGUUGAACUUCUGGUUGUGCGCAGAGGCCGGUCUCCGAUCGCCCUGGGUGCAGCCAUCCGUCUGCAAACCUUUACAGCCUUAACUGGUUUGUCUAGGGGAGCAGGCAUUUUACUUUGAAAAAAUUAGAGUGUUUAAGGCAGGCUCUCGCCGCUGAAUACAUUAGCAUGGAAUAAUGGAAUAGGACGCCUUGUCCAUUUGAUUGGUUAUUGGACUUGCGUAAUGAUUAAUAGGGACAGUUGGGGGCAUUAGUAUUUAAUUGUCAGAGGUGAAAUUCUUGGAUUUAUUAAAGACUAACUUAUGCGAAAGCAUUUGCCAAGGAUGUUUUCAUUAAUCAAGAACGAAAGU